UAACGGUUGUUGCGACAUUUAGCGACGUUGCGACAUUUAACGUUGCCACACAUAUCGUAUCCUAUCACGUACAUCGCCUAAUUGUCAAACCUCUAUCUUUUAUUCAUCAUUGCAUCUCUUUCGAUCAAGUCUAGCCGAAACAUUUAUGUUGUGCUUUUCAAGGAUACUUAUUUUGUAAAUAAACAUUUCAGAUUGUGUUUGUUAGUCUUUUUGCUGAAACGCCAUCGUUUUGAGCAGGAUCACGUGACCCAUCAAUGAUAUGCCAAAUACAUUCCAAGAAAGUGUUUGAUGAUCCGAACAAAGUGUCUGGGUACUACCCGAAGUUUUUCGAGACUUUGAAGGAAACGACCAAACUACCAGGAAACAGGAUUGUUGUUGAGUUGCUGAGCGUCCCUGAAACACAUGCAGAAAUCGGAAACUCAGGUCAUGGACCUACGAGGACCUGAAUGCAUACAUUUAAAAUAAUCCGAAAUAUAUUAUAUAAUUUAGUAAAAUUUCGUGACAGGUACAUUCCUCUCGAUUAUGUUAACUAUGUCAAAUGUUAGAAAGUGUUUAAUUGUAAAUCAAAAAUAAACACAACGCAAUACAAUGAUUUUUUGCGGUAUGAACAGAAUCUAUUACUUUGAGUGUUUGUGUUCUAUGUUUCAAAGGGAUACCGGUAUUCUAAUAGAUUUUAUUAUUUAUGAAAGUACUUACGUAUUAAAUAAAACAUAUUAUGUAACAUGUAAAAGAGAUUAUAAAUUUAAAUACUGGUUCCAACGUAUUGUUUUAAACUUGGGAAAGGACUUCUCGUGUAGAUGUAUAUUUACCUUGAGUGAAAUCCAGUCGUGUUCAUAAAAUUCUAAACGACCUGGAAUUUCUAGUACAACUUCAUUUUGAUUAGAAAAUGUUAUUAUUCAUUGUGAUUUAAACAAAAUCACGAGGGAGCCUUUAUCAACAAAAUAUUCAAAGAUAUGUUUUAAAAAAUAUAUUUAUUAUUAUUUUC
rnacentral:lncRNA from 1 species